AUUGAACGCUGGCGGCAGGCCUAACACCUGCAAGUCGAGCGGAGCGGCGGACGGGUGAGUAAUGCCUAGGAAUCUGCCUGGUAGUGGGGGAUAACGUCCGGAAACGGGCGCUAAUACCGCCUACUAUCAGAAGAGACUAGGUCGGAUUAGCUAGUGGGUGGGGUAAAGGCCUACGAAGGCGACGAUCCGUAACUGGUCUGAGAGGAUGAUCAGUCACACUGGAACGGAGACACGGUCAAGACUCGGACGGGAGGCAGCAGUGGGGAAUAGUGGACAAUGGGAGGAAGCCUGAUCAAGCCAUGCCGCGUGUGUGAGGAAGGUCUUAGGAGUGUAAAGCACUUUAAGUUGAGAGGCGUUACCAACAGAAUAAGCACCGGCUAACUUCGUGCCAGCAGCCGCGGUAAUAC
rnacentral:rRNA from 1 species